rnacentral:rRNA from 1 species
UACGUAGGGUGCGAGCGUUAAUCGGAAUUACUGGGCGUAAAGCGUGCGCAGGCGGUUCGUUAAGUUCGAUGUGAAAGCCCCGGGCUCAACCUGGGAACUGCAUUGGAAACUGGCGAGCUUGAGUAUGGCAGAGGGGGGUGGAAUUCCGCGUGUAGCAGUGAAAUGCGUAGAGAUGCGGAGGAACACCGAUGGCGAAGGCAGCCCCCCUGGGCUGACACUGACGCUCAGGCACGAAAGCGUGGGGAGCGAACAGG